rnacentral:rRNA from 1 species
CAGCCGCCGCGGGAAUACGAAGGGUGCAAGCGUUACUCGGAAUUACUGGGCGUAAAGCGUGCGUAGGUGGUGGUUUAAGUCCGUUGUGAAAGCCCUGGGCUCAACCUGGGAAUGGCAGUGGAUACUGGCUCGCUAGAGUGUGUCAGAGGAUGGUGGAAUUCCCGGUGUAGCGGUGAAAUGCGUAGAGAUCGGGAGGAACAUCAGUGGCGAAGGCGGCCAUCUGGGACAACACUGACGCUGAGGCACGAAAGCGUGGGGAGCAAACAGGAUUAGAUACCCCAGUAGUCCCUGUCUCUUAUAC